AACAUUUGUUUGACCUACCAGGAGGCCAGCGCACUAAAGCAAAGCCCAGCAAGUAAGCUGAUCUCGACCCUCCAAGGAUCCUCAAUCAAUUCAAGUGUGGAGCUGUGAUUUCUAUUGCUGACCAAGAAUACUUCUUCUGUGGACCUCAUGGUUUACUCACGUUUUCCUCCUUUCCCAGCAGAGGGCGCUCUUCCUCCAAAUUUACAUCGGCCAGAAUGUUCCACAUCCAGCAUCAGAGCCCUCCUGAUGGAUUUGUUCUCCUCAGGGCGUCCCCCUCCCCCAGCUGAAUGCUCCCUGCCCCUCCAGAGGAGGUGUGAUGCUGUAGUCCCUGCUCACCUGAGUCCCACGCAGACGUGGGUGGAGUCUCUGCAGGUGGAGGAUGGUGAGCCGCUCAGCUCCACCCGGACGUCUUUGGAGUUUCUCCAAUGUAGAAAAUGUUCAUCUUUUUUACAUUUUUUUUUCCAGAAAUAUAUGAUUCUUAAUGUUUUUAGAGUAGAUGUUCUAUAGAAAAAUGGCAAAGGAAGUACAAAAGAAUCGUAAGUUAAAGUUUGUUUAUUCCAAAUCAGAAAAUGAGUCAAUAUUCAAUAAUGUUCAAAAGUGUUUUACUUCAUUUCUGCUGCUGCUUCAGAGUUCUGUAAAAAGAUACUUGUUGACUCGUGUUUUGUCAGAGUCACGCCCACACAAAGGUCAGGUAAGAGGUCAGAAAGGUCAAGAAACCCUGGAGACAGAAGGGGAGUGGUAAAUCUCACCACGGAAGCAUCUGGUCCCAAAUAUGGCAAGAUGGGUGAGCAAAUGAUCAUCACAGGUCCUUCAAACUCACACAUUUGUUCCUCAGGUGGGGUAUCCCAGGGGCCUCGAGGACCGACCAGCUACUACUACAUGUUCUCCAUGAUGGUUCAAGUCCAGAGGCUCAAAGUAGCUCUGAGCUCUAAGAUGGUUUAGGUAAAACGUCGAGUCUUCUUUGUCUUCAUUAUCCAGAUCCAGGAUUUAUUAACUAACCAGACCAAAAGUAGAAGAUCAAAAAAGUCGCACAUACUCUGAGAUCAACACUUUAGAAUCAAUAUCCUGCUUUUUAUUUCUGGGAGUUUUUAUCUUAAAUUUAUCUUAAAAGUCAAAUUUAAACAGUUGUUUGAGUCCCAUAAUGCACAGAAGGCGAAGGUUAAAAGAUCCUCAACAGAAGAAAGAGGAAAUGAGUCUUAUUCUGAAACUUUUGGAGCCUGAACUUCCCCUAAGAAAAGACUCAAGUGCAUUUCUAAAAUAAAAAUUAUAAGUCAAUCUCAAACUGUGGAAAAGGCCCCAAAAAAAUCCCUUUCUCAAUAAUGACACCAUUUAGAAUGGCGGAUGUGGUACAGUUGGUAAAGCGGAGAUACGGGGUCCACAUAUCCAUAAAAUGUCCUUUUGUAGAGUGAAGCAGACAGGUCAGAUAUUUGGAAGGAGGCUUGUCACUGAUCUAUGACAAAAAAAUGUUCUUUCGUGCACCAUAUGCCAGGAUAUCACACAAUCUGCCAUACGCUGAACCAAAGUUACUGUCUCUGUAUCCCAAAAGCAGAGAAUGAAUGUUCAUGACUAGCUGAUAUCAUUAGAACCAUUUAUUAGUUUUUUUGUUUUAAAUUUUUUUUUUUUGGUUUGGUUUUUUUUUAAGAUUAUUUUUAUAUAUUCUUAAGCUCUUAAGAGAUCGGAUAUUUUUUAUUACCACAGUAGGUAAUUUCUUAACUUUUGGUGGUGAGAAAAAAAACCUAGCAUAUCAAAGCACAGAGCUAGCAGUUAGCAGUUAGCAGCUGCUCUUCAGCUGUCUCGGUCUUCGAACCAGCACCUUCUCACUGUGAAGCAAAAGUGCUAACCACUACGGCAUUGUACAGUCGGCCUCUGAAACAAUUUAGGGUUAAAAAAAUUCGAGAGAAAAAUCCUGUUUUUAUAAGUAUAUUAGUGUAAUUUGCUGGUUUUAGUUGUUCUUAUGACCUGGUGUGACAUUGUUGGUAGUGUAAACCUCAAAGCUGCAUUUAUCUUAGGGUGAGCAUCCACACAUUAAACCGACUAUCUUUGAAAUGCAAACGCCUUCAUGUGAGGACACCUUUUCUCUGAAACUGCAUCAUUAAAGAAAUUCCUUU